rnacentral:rRNA from 1 species
CAAUAGCGUAUAUUAAAGUUGUUGCGGUUAAAAAGCUCGUAGUCGAAAUUUAAUCGAUCUAGCCAGUUCGCAUAUGUGGGCUGUGUUCAGAUCGUAGCCGUCUGACGGCGUUCGUUACUUUGAAGAAAUCAGAGUGUUUCAAGCAAGCUUUUGCUGUGAAUACUAAAGCAUGGAAUAAUGAUAUAAGACACGAACUUUUUUCAUUGGUUUAAAAGUUAGUGUAAUGAUUAAUGGAAACAGACAGGGGCAUUCGUAUUUGACUGUCAGAGGUGGAAUUCUUGGAUUUGUUAAAGACGAACAACUGCGAAAGCAUUUGCCAGGUAUGUUUUCAUUG